GAGUGAACGCUGGCGGUAGGCCUAACACAUGCAAGUCGAACGGCAGCACAGUAAGAGCUUGCUCUUACGGGUGGCGAGUGGCGGACGAGUGAGGAAUACAUCGGAAUCUACUUUUUCGUGGGGGAUAACGUAGGGAAACUUACGCUAAUACCGCAUACGACCUACGGGUGAAAGCAGGGGAUCUUCGGACCUUGCGCGAUUGAAUGAGCCGAUGUCGGAUUAGCUAGUUGGCGGGGUAAAGGCCCACCAAGGCGACGAUCCGUAGCUGGUCUGAGAGGAUGAUCAGCCACACUGGAACUGAGACACGGUCCAGACUCCUACGGGAGGCAGCAGUGGGGAAUAUUGGACAAUGGGCGCAAGCCUGAUCCAGCCACACCGCGUGGGUGAAGAAGGCCUUCGGGUUGUAAAGCCCUUUUGUUGGGAAAGAAAAGCAGCAGGUUAAUACCCCGCUGUUCUGACGGUACCCAAAGAAUAAGCACCGGCUAACUUCGUG
rnacentral:rRNA from 1 species